AUUGAACGCUGGCGGCAUGCUUUACACAUGCAAGUCGAACGGUAACAGGGUGCUUGCACCGCUGACGAGUGGCGAACGGGUGAGUAAUGCGUCGGAACGUGCCGAGUAGUGGGGGAUAACGCAUCGAAAGGUGUGCUAAUACCGCAUACGUACUGAGGUAGAAAGUGGGGGACCUUCGGGCCUCACGCUAUUCGAGCGGCCGACGUCUGAUUAGCUAGUUGGUGAGGUAAAGGCUCACCAAGGCGACGAUCAGUAGCGGGUCUGAGAGGAUGAUCGGAGACACGGGGACUGAGACACGGCCCAGACUCCUAAGGGAGGCAGCAGUGGGGAAUUUUGGAGAAUGGGCGCAAGCCUGAUCCAGCCAUGCCGCGUGUCUGAAGAAGGCCUUCGGGUUGUAAAGGACUUUUGUCCGGGAGCAAAUACCCAGUGCUAAUAACGCUGGGGGCUGAGAGUACCGGAAGAAUAAGCACCGGCUAACUACGUGCCAGCCGCCGCCGUAACAC
rnacentral:rRNA from 1 species